UACGUAGGGUGCAAGCGUUAAUCGGAAUUACUGGGCGUAAAGCGUGCGCAGGCGGUUAUGUAAGACAGUUGUGAAAUCCCCGGGCUCAACCUGGGAACUGCAUCUGUGACUGCAUAGCUAGAGUACGGGUAGAGGGGGAUGGGAAUUCCGCGUGUAGCAGUGAAAUGCGUAGAUAUGCGGAGGAACACCGAUGGCGAAGGCAAUCCCCUGGACCUGUACU
rnacentral:rRNA from 1 species